UACGUAGGGUGCGAGCGUUGUCCGGAAUUAUUGGGCGUAAAGGGCUCGUAGGCGGUCUGUUGCGUCGGGAGUGAAAACUUACAGCUUAACUGUGAGCGUGCUUUCGAUACGGGCAGACUUGAGGCAUUCAGGGGAGAACGGAAUUCCUGGUGUAGCGGUGAAAUGCGCAGAUAUCAGGAAGAACACCCGUGGCGAAGGCGGCUCUCUGGGACGGUACUGACGCUGAGACGCGAAAGCGUGGGGAGCGAACAGG
rnacentral:rRNA from 1 species